rnacentral:rRNA from 1 species
GACGAACGCUGGCGGCGUGCCUAACACAUGCAAGUCAACUUGACUGAAGGAGCAAUCUGACAGUAGAGUGGCGCAAGGGUGCGUAACGCGUAAGUAACUUGCCCAAGGUAAGGAAUAACGUCGAGAAAUCGGCGCUAAUACCUCAUAAUGCAGCGGAUCCGCAUGGAUAUGUUGUUAAAGGUUACCGCCUUGGGAUAGGCUUGCGUCUGAUUAGCUAGUUGGUGUGGUAACGGCACACCAAGGCUACGAUCAGUAACUGGUCUGAGAGGAUGAUCAGUCACACUGGAACUGAGACACGGUCCAGACUCCUACGGGAGGCAGCAGUGAGGAAUAUUGGGCAAUGCUCGAAAGAGUGACCCAGCAACGCCGCGUGGAGGAUGAAGGUAUUCUAUAUCGUAAACUCCUGUGAGAGCAGACGAAAGACAGAUUAUUAAUCUGGAUGACUGUAUGCUCAGAGGAAGCCCCGGCUAACUACG